UCUGAUCAGUACUGGAAUUUUACUCUCCUUUCUCAGAGCUGAACCAUACAACUUAUACUUCUAGGAUUAAUGAAUGCUAUUGGCAAAAGAUGGAGGAUAAUUGAAAGUAUUUUUGAAAAUUUUAAAAAUCCUGAUUGAACGGGUACGGAAGACAGUUCAGGGGUCAACUGACGACAUAGGAUGGCUGCAACGUGCUCCAGAAAUGCCUCCAGUUGAAGACGGAACUGAAAGGUUUAUGGAAAUUAUGGAUGAUAUCAGGCAUGGCCUACACAAGUUGCCAAAUUCUAUGGUUUACUUGUUGGUACCAGGUAGCAAAUAUUUUCCUUCCCUAAAUAGUAUCAAAUCUUUUUUUCGUUCUCUUCCUUCUGUCAUAUGUGGAACACUCAGAUGUAUGUGGAAGAUCAUCUCUGAUGUGUUCCUGUAGUGGGGUGUUUGAAGCCAAGUGACUUUUAUGUGUUGGUAUGCUUCUAAUAUUUGGGUUGGGGUGUUUCUUUCUUCUUGCUUUUUUGGUACAUCAGAGGCUUUAGUCUCGGGGAAGGGGAGUCUUGCCUACGGCAAGACUUGUACCCUUAAUCUCUGAGUUAGGUACAGGGAUUUUGGCCAACAGGGCCAGACCAAGUUGGUUGGAUUGGGGUGUUUCAAGCCAAAUGACUUAUUUGGGUUGGACUGCUUCUAAUCUAGUAUCUUUUUUGUUAUUUUGGUAUUCUUCCAAUCCAACUUCAGAAAAAUAUGAUAGAUUGCAAGUUUGGAUUAUCAGUAGAUCAUCUUUUUCAUGAGAUGGUAUGCAUUAGGCUGGUAAACAUGUUGACUCCAACACCGCUAAG